UUGGCAGAGAUAGGUUUUGUGAGAGGUUGAUCCCAGGGUCAUUUCCAUAAUAUUUUGGCUUUUUCAAAGCUAUCUUCAAUGGUUUCUCUGACUGUGUGUGCUGUGCUUCCAAGAGAUCAUGUGAAUAAUUUCAGAAUGAAGAACUGUGUACUGGUCUCCGACAUAUGGUCAGAAUGCUUGAAUUCACAGCUUUUAAAGGAUAUAAAAUCUGAGUGGUUCACAAAGGGUACAAAAUUGUGAAGGGAUCAUUCUCACCUUGUUUGAUCCUUUAAGAUUUGAAAAGAAAAAAGGAGGCUUUUGCCUAAUACGGCAACUUGAAAGGUCAUAAAGAAGCUCAUCUCUCCAGGAGAAGCCCUGGCAAAUAUAUGAAAAAGAUCCCAAAAGAAAACAUUGAUGAAGACCACCAGAACUGUAUAGCAGUAUUUCUUCUAUCCAUUCUAAAACUCCAUACAUAGACAUCUAGAAGGUUAACAAAAAGGUUUAUAGAAGAAUCACAAAAGGUCAAGUAGACUCUGAGGCUAACAGAGGCAAAAAGAGUGUCAUAUUAGAAAAGCCAGGGAAAACUUAGGUAAAGGGCUGAAAACUGGCAGCCGGGAGAGAAACUGUUCCAGGGAAUAACUACAGGAGCACUAGCAACUGGACUUGAGACAAGCCAGAAUGAGUUCAAGUACUAAUGCAACUAAAGCCUGUUAAUAGCAGUGGCCUAUCACAUGAGGAGCAAACAUUAUAUUUAUAUGCUCCUCAGAGCACUGGGAUCACA